GGCUCUGUAGCUUGGCGGUAAGAAGCGCCCGUCUAGUGAAUUGGAAGUCGUGGGUUCGAUUCCCAUCGGAGUAC
rfam:Aedes albopictus isolate Foshan contig65310, whole genome shotgun sequence.